AACGGCCAUACUAUGCUGAAUAUACCGGUUCUCGUUAGAUCACCGAAGUCAAGCAUCAUUGGGCGAGGUCAGUACCUGG